UACGUAGGGUGCAAGCGUUGUCCGGAAUUAUUGGGCGUAAAGAGCUCGUAGGCGGCUUGUCGCGUCGGCUGUGAAAACCUGGGGCUCAACCCCGGGCCUGCAGCCGAUACGGGCAAGCUAGAGUUCGGUAGGGGAGACUGGAAUCCUGGUUGUAGCGGUGAAAUGACGCAGAUAUCAGGAGGAACACCGGUGGCGAAGGCGGGUCUCUGGGCCGAAACUGACGCUGAGGAGCGAAAGCGUGGGGAGCAAACAGG
rnacentral:rRNA from 1 species